CCGCUGAAAUUUAAGCAUAUAAUUAAGCGGAGGAAAAGAAACUAACCAGGAUUCCCCUAGUAAGGGCGACUGAAGCGGGAAGAGCUCCACCUGAAUCAUUGAAUUGUGGUGUGUUUGCUUACUUAUCCGGUCCAAGUCCCUUGGAAAAGGGCAGCUUAGAGGGUGAGACUCCCGUCGGACUGGAUUGAUUGAAUUAGAGAAUGCGUACAGUUGUGUAUGUGUUUUUUAUUUUAGAUUGAAUCGAAAAGAAGCACUCACGUUGGAGUCGAGUUGUUUGGGAUUGCAGCUCAAAGUGGGUGGUAAAUUCCAUCGAAAGCUAAAUAUUGGUGGGAGACCGAUAGCGUACAAGUACCGUGAGGGAAAGAUGCAAAGAACUUUGAAAAGAGAGUUAAAGAGUACCUGAAAUUGCUGAAAGGGAAGCGAAGGAAACCAGUGUCGCAUUUGUCAUACUUCUUGUUCCGCUUGCGGUCUGAGCGCUGUGGCUGUGCUGGUCAUUCAUGGUUGUUGUCGACGGAAGGUUUACCGCGUUGACAGCGACUGUGUAUGACGAAAUGGUUUUCUUUACCCCGUCUUGAACAACCGGACCAAGGA
rnacentral:rRNA from 1 species